CUAUGUUGCGUAAGCUGGCAGCAGGGACACAGAAAAGUGCUAGUUUAGUUUUGUCACUAAAAGAACAGUCUUUGGAAAAGGAAUCACUGGUGGACAGUUGAAGUUGGGUGCAAAUUUACUGAAGAAGCUGAAGGAGAUUUAUUUCUCUCCCUGUGAGCACUGUUAAGAGAACACAGUACAAGAGAUACCAUUGCUCACAGCCACAUUCCCUCAUCAGGACUGCAGCCUAGGGUCCAAAGGCGAUGCUUAACACAGGCAAGAAUGAAUAUUCUUACAACAUAUCGUAAGCAAAUAGUAUCAGCUAACUUAAGGAGUUGGUACAUCAACAUCAGAGUGCUCUCAUGGACCCUAGGGCUACAUUCAGAGACAUCCUUCAAGAGUAGUUAUUGGAAAAUGACUCAUCAGAAAGGAUAUAAAAAAU
rnacentral:lncRNA from 1 species